UACGGGUUGCCUUUACGUAAGUAAUCAUCAAUUGAAAGAAAACUCAAACUUUUCACAAAAAUGGAUUAGGAACAAUGCACGAGCAGAUCAGAUAGGAUGACACUUUCUGAAAGCAACUGCUUUAGGGUAUUUCUUUAAUUCCUUACUCUUUUUAGCAUUACUUUUCCUCUUCUACUGUGUUUUGUUUUGUAAACUCGCGCAUAAUUUGUUAAGGAGUUUUAGAGACAGAUGGAGAAAAUUUCAAAUUGAUCCCUAUUAUAUAGGCUAGGUUGCAAUAUUAUUCCCCACUCUAACCAUUGUUCUUAUUUGUUCCCCAAAAUUUAUGACAUAAAUACAUUUUAAAGAAGUCCUUGCUCCAAUCUAGGACCAUAUUUUCAUAAUUCUUUUCGGAAAUUCGUGACUAGCACUGGCGUUUUAGAAAGGGCAAUCUUGACACUACACAUAUUUUAUGGAUAUUGGAAAAUAUAUGAAGAUGAAAAUUGUGUCCCAUCACAUGACAAGCAAGUAAAUGUUGUUCGUGAAAUUGUGUCCUUUAUAGAAGGCCUGUGCAAGUCACAUGUUCUCAAUGAAUUGAACAAAUGAUGUCAUAGAUUGGAAAUGAAACAAUGGUUAGAAUCGAGAUAUGGCAACUUAUCCCGUUUAGAAAUGAUUUAACUUUUAUACAGGGAUAAUUCAAAUUAUUUAUUCAGCAUUAAUAUAUUUUAACUUAUUGUAGCAGAUAACAUGUCUCAUUUUUCAAAGUUAUUUAAGUCACUUUUUAUAAACAAAUACUUAUAAUUAUCAUUUAAUUGAUUUGAUAGUGUAAAAAUUCUUUUACAGUCAGUGUGUAUGAAGUUAAAUUCAUUUAGAAAGCCAAAUUGGCAAAUUACUUGACAGGGAAGAGGUGAAUGAGUUGAUAACUUGAUAUGCCUUGUGUGUCGAGGACCUGUUCCUGGAGCUGACUAUAUUUUGGCCUUAAUCAAAACCUUUUGUGGUUUGGUCAAAUUGGGCUACUGGGAGUUGAAAAAAUUAUAACAAGUUUGUAUCAUGAUUUAUUGUAUAAAGUUAUUAGGUCAUAGUGCAAGAACUGCACAAGAGCUGACUAAAUAUUGCCUCGAAUUGGUGCUUCUACAUGCUCCCUUUUAAUCUUCUAUCAACUGUAACAGUUAUGUUAGGAGAAUAUACUAUGAAUUUUGACUCAUUCAGAGCUCCUUUUUAUAUUGUUUCAGUUACUUCAGCUGAGUCAGUUAAAAAGUUUUGCAAAAAAUAAUAGAGAAUAGAAAAAGAAAGAAAAGAGUAACCCUUGCACAGGAUUAUAUAUUACAUUUAGCAAAAUCUACCAGCCACCGUCACAAUGUGAUUCGCAAAUGCUUUUAACAUUUAACGUUGUAACCUUUUUCAGGUGCAAAAGACUAUCGCAGCAUUUGUUAUCUGGGAUAUUGUUAUGCUUCCAGAUUGCUGCUUCCACGUCUCUGCCUUAGUCUUCCAGCAAUGCUACCAAUGACUUGUGCAGCAGCUCGACAAGGCUUCUUUUUCGACUUUGAACUUGCUUCUGGUGCAACCAUACCAACCAAAAUACCACAGUUUUUGUCAUCUGGGACAUAAGUGCCAUCCUCUUUUUCUUCGUUUGAUUGCUUUUUCCCAGCAUCACUUUCAAGUGGUGACACGCCAUUGUAGCCAUCACUUAACUCGGUAAGCAUAAGUGCACUUGAAGUCAAUGCACUGCCUAUAGCAUUUUCAUUUCCUGGUUUGUUGUCCGCUGAGGAGUUCCCUACAUUGUCACAUGAGAGCACCAGAUUUGUACCACAGUUUUUGGAGUCAUUAUUCAGUAGUAAUGAGGGUUCACCGCUAGACUCAGCAGCAAAAGCACGCUUCAGUGAGGGCUCUGUGCUACUUUCUGGUGCUAAAUUGUUCUCAUUAGGAUCAUGUUCCAUUGUUUUCACCUCGGUUUGAGCAUUCAUCGCCAGCCCUUGUGACUCACUGUUGUAGUUGCAAAAUUCCUCAUUUUUCAUUGUAGCUUCCAUAUCUGAGAAAGGUAAUGAUCUUUUUGCAGAGAAUGGCGUCAAGUUGUUUUCAGAACUGACACUAGCUCGAUGGGUUUGAAUUAGAUAAUGUGCAACUGACUUGUAACCCAAUCUUGCAAUCUGGAUAGGUUGAACAAUCAAGAGUUUUGAAAAUGGAAAAGGGGUAAAAAGGAAAGAUAUGACAAAGAGAUUGAAAGAACAAUCAAAAGUUUGUAACAUGAAAUUCUUAUAAAGAGUAUUACCUUCUUAUAAAAAGGACCAGUAGGAGCCCAUCCUUUUGCUUGCCGGCACAAGCUGCAGUUGCAAAUUCCUCGAC
rnacentral:lncRNA from 1 species